GGCGGACGGGUGAGUAAUGCUUGGGAACAUGCCUUGAGGUGGGGGACAACAGUUGGAAACGACUGCUAAUACCGCAUAAUGUCUACGGACCAAAGGGGGCUUCGGCUCUCGCCUUUAGAUUGGCCCAAGUGGGAUUAGCUAGUUGGUGAGGUAAUGGCUCACCAAGGCGACGAUCCCUAGCUGGUUUGAGAGGAUGAUCAGCCACACUGGAACUGAGACACGGUCCAGACUCCUACGGGAGGCAGCAGUGGGGAAUAUUGCACAAUGGGCGAAAGCCUGAUGCAGCCAUGCCGCGUGUGUGAAGAAGGCCUUCGGGUUGUAAAGCACUUUCAGUCAGGAGGAAAGGGUGUGAGUUAAUACCUCACAUCUGUGACGUUACUGACAGAAGAAGCACCGGCUAACUCCGUGCCAGCAGCCGCGGUAAUACGGAGGGUGCGAGCGUUAAUCGGAAUUACUGGGCGUAAAGCGUAC
rnacentral:rRNA from 1 species